AUUGGACCACAUUGUAUUAGACAAUGAUUAUAAAUGUCAAGCUUUGACCAGCUAGAAACCAUGUAAAACUAGCACCGCUUUUAUCCAGAAUUUGAAUGAUUAAUAUUUGAAUUAUUCUGCGAAGGGAGAACCUGGUGCUCCAGGGUUAUCAGGAUUACCAGGUUUACCAGGAGAGGAUGGAGCACCAGGACAGAAGGGAGAACCAGGAGCCCCUGGGUUGAGGGGCUCUGAAGGAGCAGCAGGAGUGGGCAUCCAGGGUGAAAAAGGUGAUCAGGGUCAGCGGGGAAUCCGUGGGUUAGCAGGGCCAUCGGGAAUAGCUGGACCCUCAGGGUCAAAGGGAGAGCCUGGCACCCCUGGGCGCCCGGGAUUACCUGGACUACCGGGACGUACCAUAAC